rnacentral:rRNA from 1 species
CGGCGGACGGGUGAGUAACACGUGGAUAACCUACCUAUAAUACUGGGAUAACUUCGGGAAACCGGAGCUAAUACCGGAUAAUAUAUUGAACCGCAUGGUUCAAUAGUGAAAGACGGUUUUGCUGUCACUUAUAGAUGGAUCCGCGCCGCAUUAGCUAGUUGGUAAGGUAACGGCUUACCAAGGCAACGAUGCGUAGCCGACCUGAGAGGGUGAUCGGCCACACUGGAACUGAGACACGGUCCAGACUCCUACGGGAGGCAGCAGAC